rnacentral:ncRNA from 1 species
UUAGCUAUUUUAGGUAGUUUGUAUUUAUGAAAUCUGUUUUAGAUCAUAGAUACAAACGUCAGUAAACAACUGAACCGUAUCUAUGAUGGCUAAACAUUUUGUUGCGUAACAAGUGGCCACGUAGAGAUAAAAUCUAUUGUGGCAUAGCUAGAUAUUUUAGCGCUAUAAGCACCUAUUUAGAUUUUAUCUGGAUAGGUGCUUUUUUCUUUGGAUUGAUUGU